GACGAACGCUGGCGGCGUGCUUAACACAUGCAAGUCGAGCGAGAACCGGACCAUCGGGUCUGGGGAAAGCGGCGAACGGGUGAGUAACACGUGGGCAACCUGCCUCGGAGACUGGGAUAACGUCCCGAAAGGGACGCUAAUACCGGAUGAUGCGUGACCUGCUAAGUGGGUCACGCCAAAUGGUAGCUUCGGCUUCUGCUCUGGGAUGGGCCCGCGCCGGAUUAGCUUGUUGGUGAGGUAACGGCUCACCAAGGCGACGAUCCGUAGCUGGUCUGAGAGGACGAUCAGCCACACUGGGACUGGGACACGGCCCAGACUCCUACGGGAGGCAGCAGUGGGGAAUCUUGCGCAAUGGGCGAAAGCCUGACGCAGCAACGCCGCGUGAGCGAAGAAGGCCCUCGGGUUGUAAAGCUCUGUCAGGAGGGACGAAGCCACUCAGGUUAAUAGCCGAGAGGGUGACGGUACCUCCAGAGGAAGCCCCGGCUAACUACGUGCCAGCCGCCGCCGUAAAAC
rnacentral:rRNA from 1 species